GAGACACGAAUCCAGACCCUACGGGGUGCAGCAGGCGCGAAAACUUGGCAAUGCGAGCAAUCGUGACCAGGGAACUCCAAGUGGCUGGGGUAAUACCCAGUUUUUUCUUGACUCUUCAAAGGUCUUGGAAUAAGGGGUGGGUAAGGACGGUGCCAGCCGCCGCGGUAAUACCGGCGCCUCGAGUGGUAGUCGCUUUUAUUGGGCCUAAAACGUCCGUAGCCGGUCUGGUGCAUUCGUGGGUAAAUCAACCCGCUCAACGGGUUGAAUUCUGCGAGCACGGCCAGACUUGGGACCGGGAGAGGUGUGGGGUACUCUCAGGGUAGGGGUAAAAUCCUGUCAUCCUGAGAGGACCACCUGUUGCGAAGGCGCCACACUAGAACGGAUCCGACGGUCAGGGACGAAACCUAGGGGCACGAACCGGAUUAGAUACCCGGGUAGUCCUAGGUGUAAACGCUGUGGACUUGAUGUUGGGGGCGCUCCGAGCGCUCUCAGUGUCGAAGCGAAGGUGAUAAGUCCACUGCCUGGGGAGUACGGUCGCAAGGCUGAAACUUAAAGGAAUUGGCGGGGGAGCACUGCAACCUGAGGAUUGUGCGGUUUAAUUGGAUUCAACGCCGGAA
rnacentral:rRNA from 1 species